rnacentral:rRNA from 1 species
GACGAACGCUGGCGGCGUGCCUAAUACAUGCAAGUCGAACGCACUCUCGUUUAGAUUGAAGGAGCUUGCUCCUGAUUGAUAAACAUUUGAGUGAGUGGCGGACGGGUGAGUAACACGUGGGUAACCUGCCCUAAAGUGGGGAUAACAUUUGGAAACAGAUGCUAAUACCGCAUAAAACCUAAACACCGCAUGGUGUAGGGUUGAAAGAUGGUUUCGGCUAUCACUUUAGGAUGGACCCGCGGUGCAUUAGUUAGUUGGUGAGGUAAAGGCUCACCAAGACCGUGAUGCAUAGCCGACCUGAGAGGGUAAUCGGCCACACUGGGGACUGAGACACGGCCCAGACUCCUACGGGAGGCAGCAGUAGGGAAUCUCCACAAUGGACGAAAGUACUGAUGGAGCAACGCCGCGUGAGUGAAG